GGCCGUCCGAGUUGUAAUCUGGAGAAGUGUUUUCCGCGCUGGACCGUGUACAAGUCCCUUGGAACGGAGCGUCAUAGAGGGUGAGAAUCCCGUCUUUGACACGGACUACCAGUGCUUUGUGAUGCGCUCUCGAAGAGUCGAGUUGUUUGGGAAUGCAGCUCAAAAUGGGUGGUAAAUUCCAUCUAAAGCUAAAUAUUGGCGAGAGACCGAUAGCGAACAAGUACCGUGAGGGAAAGAUGAAAAGCACUUUGGAAAGAGAGUUAAACAGUACGUGAAAUUGUUGAAAGGGAAACGCUUGAAGUCAGUCGCGUCUUCCGGGACUCAGCCUUGCUUCUGCUUGGUGUACUUCCCGGAUGACGGGUCAGCAUCAAUUUUGACCGUUGGAAAAAGGCUUGAGGAAUGUGGCACCUCCGGGUGUGUUAUAGCCUCUGGUCGUAUACCGCGGUUGGGAUUGAGGAACGCAGCACGCCGCAAGGCGCGGGGUUCGUCCACGUUCGAGCUUAGGAUGCUGGCAUAAUGGCUUUAAGCGA
rnacentral:rRNA from 1 species